AGUGAACGCUGGCGGCGUGCUUAACACAUGCAAGUCGAACGAGAACGGAUUAUAGCUUGCUAUAAUUGUCAGCUAAGUGGCGCACGGGUGAGUAAUGUAUAGAUAACCUGCCCUCUAGAAAGGAAUAACAGUUGGAAACGACUGCUAAUGCCCUAUAUGCCUUUAAUACAUAAGUAUGCAAGGGAAACGCUUUAGUGCUAGAGGAUGGGUCUGUAUGGUAUCAGUUAGUUGGUGAGGUAAUGGCUCACCAAGACUAUGACGCCUAACUGGUUUGAGAGGAUGAUCAGUCACACUGGAACUGAGACACGGUCCAGACUCCUACGGGAGGCAGCAGUGGGGAAUAUCGCACAAUGGACGAAAGUCUGAUGCAGCAACGCCGCGUGGAGGAUGACACAUUUCGGUGCGUAAACUCCUUUUAUAUAGGAAGAUAAUGACGGUACUAUAUGAAUAAGCACCGGCUAACUCCGUG
rnacentral:rRNA from 1 species